GAAUAUUAGUCAAUGCUCGAAAGAGUGAACUAGCUAACUGAAAUCAAUUAUAAUAAUUGAUAACAUAAGGGAAAAUAAUGAUAUUACCUUAUUAUUAGUGUCGUCCAAAACUGGUGCCAGAAGACUCGGUAAGGCCAGAGACACAAACGUUAAUCGUCUUAAUCAGGCGUAAAGGGUUUGUAGGCAGCUUUAAAAUUAGAUUAUUAAAUUAAAUAAAUAAAAAUUAUUAAUUAAUAAUUAAAGACAAAAAGCUAGAAUCAAAAAGAGGAUAUAUUAAAGAAUGCUUAGAGUAGGUCUGAUAUCCUUAGAUACUAAGUAGAAUAUUAAAGGCGAAAGCUUUUUUCCAUUAAUGAUUGACGCUCAGAAACGAAGGUGAGGAUAGGAAAUAGGAUUAGAUACCCAAAAUACCCCUCUCUGUCAACGAUGAAUGGUAAUUAUUAGUAAAAAUUUUAUUAAUGAUAAUGUUAACACGAUAACCAUUCCGCCUUGUGAGUACAACUGCAAAGUUGAAAACAAAAAAAUUAGUCGGUUUCGGAGCAAACGAAGUGAAGCAUGUUAUUUAAUU
rnacentral:rRNA from 1 species